rnacentral:lncRNA from 1 species
UGGGCUGGAUUCAAUAUUCAAUAUUCAAUAUUGAAGCGUCCUUGAUAUUGACGCCAAAAUUGAACUAAACUCUUGGCCUCAGGUAUUAAUCUGAUCCGUUCCUUGGAUUCCUCCGUGGUGACAGACUUAGACAUACGGAGUAUUCAAGUAUGUAUGUAUGUAUGUAUGUAUGUUCCGUAUUCUGAUGGUGUCCAGGCGCCAACGAGCAAAGAAACGGUGAAUCAAUUUCCUACGAACAGAGCUCGGUUUAAUUCGCUGUGUCUGGGAUAUCCAACACUUCAUGAAAUAGGGGAAGUAAGAUUGUGGUAGCCGAAGUUUGUUGGUUCUUUUUUUCUGGACAAUAAUCAAAUGCAAUUGUGACCAGGAUUCAAAGACUCAAUCAACAUGCAUGGGGGAAUGCAUGGGUCAACAAAGUAUCGGAACCCAAUGAUCGCUCAGAUUCUCGCCAUCAUAUGCGCGGUGCUAGUUUGAGACAUGGCGUUUCCGAUCAUAACGUUCUGUUGAGAGUUGACGGGGGGACACGGAGCAUAAGGCAGAGCUACAGAGUACAUGUACAAUCUACAUGUAUCCUGGCGCGUAAUACGAAAACGGAGACAUUUUUACAUACCGGGUUGUAUGAUAGCCUGUAUGGAGUAGUUACUAAGUUAGUUACCAUGUAUAUUAAGGCGUAAUAUUGAGUGGAGCCAUGCUCAGCACAAAAUCCAAACUAAGGCGCAGGAGUAGCGCCGAACCCUGCAUACGCACCUUUCUACUAAUGAUAUGCACUAAUAGACGAAACGGGUCUGGCGGAAAACGAAAUUGGCGCCGUUAGAAUUCUUCUAUAUGCAACACGUCACGCCCUAUGUUUCUUGAGCGUUCGACUGUGUGUGUGUGUGUGUGUGUGUGUGUUUCAGGACUGCAGGCCAAUCAAUUGGUCGCAUGCGAAUGAUUCAACUUGUGGUCCUGUCAGUGAUCAUAAUGAUUCAGCCAGACGGAGUACGUAUUUGUUGUAUGUAUGUGCAACUGCGUAGCGUAGUUGCGGAUGCUCCGUACAUGCUGGUCUAAUUUGACAUUGCACAAUGUCCAACUGUGUGACCGCCAAUUGCUCUACAGCGCAGCUCCUUCAGCCGCCGAGCCACGUAUUCCAGAUAUGUCAUUCUCGUCAUAUUUUAUUUUUUUCCAAUCUGUGUCCCGCAUGACCUCUCAACUACAAGCGGUCUGUGAGUAACCGCCCAUCGACGAGCCCACGACCGCCAGUUUUCCAUGUCACUAGCGGUAUUUCAUAUUCGCGGAAUCGAGAUCAUGGCCCAAUCUGGAGAGCGCC